UCAUGGCAAUCCAGUGCCAGGUCUACCAAGCCCUAUGCGAGUUUGCUGAUUCGGCCCUUGGUAUCUGCCUUGCAAGAUGUUUAUGCAUAAAUGUACCUCCCCUGAAAUUGGACACCUCUGUGUUUCCUACACUCUGGCCGCCGUCAUUUUGUUCUGAAACUAGGAGCUUUUUGCAUCAAAUUUGGAGCUAGUACCUUUUUGCAUCAAAUUUGGUUUCCGUUGCUCGCGAAGUGAGGUAGUGAUGUAUUGCUGAACACAUUUUGAAUGCUGAUAAGUUAUACUCAGUUAACCUGAUGGCUUCCGUGAGAUACAUAAACAUAUUCCGAUUUGACCCGAUGAUGUUUAGUAAUAAUAGGCGCUGGCUUCCAGUGUUUAAGCCUUG
rnacentral:lncRNA from 1 species